rnacentral:rRNA from 1 species
CGCCUAACACAUGCAAGUCGAACGAACUAGCAAUACUUAAUGGCAGACAGGUGAGUAACAUGUGGGUAUCUACCCUUUGGCCUGGAAUAACACGAGGAAACUUGUGCUAAUACCGGAUAAGUCUUUACGGAGAAAGCUUUAUGCACCAUUGGAUGAGCCCGCACUUGAUUAGUUUGUUGGUAGGGUAAUGGCCUACCAAGACUAUAAUCAAUAGCUGAUUUGAGAGGAUGAUCAGCCACAUUGGGACUGAAACACGGCCCAAACUCCUACGGGAGGCAGCAGUGGGGAAUCUUGCACAAUGGAGGAAACUCUGAUGCACCGAUGCCGCGUGAGUGAAGAAGGCCUUUGGGCUGUAAAGCUCUUUCGUCGGGAUAGAAAAUGACUGUACCCGAAUAAGAAGGUCCGG